AACAACUCACCUGCCGAAUGAAUUAGCCCUGAAAAUGGAUGGCGCUCAAGCGAGUAGCCGACACUGUGCCGUCUGAGAAAAGAUAAAGAAAGAGAAGCAAAAAAUUCCAGAUGAGUAGGAGGAACGUGACGGUUGUAUAGAAGCGUGUGCGCAAGCAUGCGUGGAACGGCCGUUAGUGCAGAUCUUGGUGGUAGUAGCAAAUAUUCAAAUGAAAACCUUGAAGGGCGAAGCGGGGAAGGGUUCCACGCGAACAUUGAUUGGGCGUGGGUGAGUCGUUCCUAAGGCGUCUGGUAAUUGACUAGUUAAUGCGGCGAAAGGGAAGCAGGUUUAUAUUCCUGCACACGGAUGUGGAAAUGCGGUGACGCACACUGGGGCGGUGAAGUCGUCGGUUGCACUGGGCAGAGAUUUCUUUUCUGUUUGACGGAGCCUGACUGUACACUAUGGAAUCCGCUUGUCGGGAGAAAUAGGUAUGUCACGGCAAAGCGCCGGGUUUUUUAUCUGGCGUCCAGUUUGCGACUGGCGGACCAUGAAAAGCUGUCUGCUGGCAAAACAGCAAUGUUUUGUGUGAAAAAAUUCCACGCCGUAACGUACCCAUAACCGCAUCAGGUCCCCAAGGUGAACAGCCUCUGCUCGAUAUGAAAAAUGCAGGUGAGGGAAGUCGGCAAAUUAGACCCGUAACUUUGGGAAAAGGGUUGGCUCUAGUGCUGCGUAGGAUGUGGUUGCUGGUUGUAGCCAUGGAAAAUGAGUCUAGUUUCACGAUUCCUCUGCGGCUGAAAGGUAGUGGAGAAAAUUUUGGAACAUGAUUCUUUUCUGUGGUUCCUGGCGACUGUACCUACGGCAUGCAGCAAACUAGAACUGCAACGGACAAAGGGAAUCCGACUGUUUAAUUAAAACAAAGCAUU
rnacentral:rRNA from 1 species